rnacentral:sRNA from 1 species
CAUGAUGGGGGGGUGCGAUGGGGAAGCCGGGCAUGGGAGAGGAUGGCUCAUGCCCUGAAAGUCCAUGAGAGGCCUCCUCUCCCCACAUCUGCAGAAACCAGCCUGGACACCAAGUCUGUGUCAGAAGGCCACCUCAAGAGGAACAUCGUGGUGAAGACCGUGGAGAUGCGGGAUGGAGAGGUAAGGAGGGAUUUGGGCCCAGUCAGGCUCUGGCUGGUCCCAGGGAUUCUCAAGGCCAGGCCAUGGAGGAAAGCCUGGGGCUGGCACAUAGAAGGUCCCCAGCAACUCCCAGGAGCUCCCCAGGGAAUUCUGGAGGAGCGCAAGGAAACUGAAUGUAAUUCCGUUUCCUCAGUCCCUCCAUAGGCUGUUCUAAGGGGAGCCUUGGUACCAAAGCCACUAGAUGGGAUCCUAAUACACACUCUCUCUUUCUCACCCUCAAACUCAGGGGCCUUGCUUGCCAGGGAGAGAAAGAGAAUUAAAGUUAGUAGCUUUCACUUCCAACUCUAGCAGACACAGUUGGGGAUGGGGAGGGCUUUCCAUUUCCAGCUUGGUAAAAGGAAACUACCAGGGGAAUGGGAAGAGGGGAUUUGGCGUAUCCGCCACGCCACUCCAACCACAGUGGGAGCUCAUCUUACUCCAGCAGCUUACCACGCACCAGGCAUGACGCUAAAUGUUUUCCCAGUGUUAUCUCACCACCCCCUCUGACCACCACGCAAGGCAGCUGUGGUUACUAUCAAGAAAAGAAAGACCUGGGAAGUCGGGGACUUCCCAAGGUUACACAGCCUCGUGGUGGUGGACCUGGGGUCUGUGUGAACUCCUAACUGUUGCACUGUGCACGUUCCCUGUCCCCUGCAGGUCAUUAAGGAGUCCAAGCAGGAGCACAAGGAUGUGAUGUGAGGCAGGACCCACCUGGUGGCCUCUGCCCCGUCUCAUGAGGGGCCCGAGCAGAAGCAAGAUAGUUGCUCCGCCUCUGCUGGCACAUUUCCCCAGACCUGAGCUCCCCACCACCCCAGCUGCUCCCCUCCCUCCUCUGUCCCUAGGUCAGCUUGCUGCCCUAGGCUCCGUCAGUAUCAGGCCUGCCAGACGGCACCCACCCAGCACCCAGCAACUCCAACUAACAAGAAACUCACCCCCAAGGGGCAGUCUGGAGGGGCAUGGCCAGCAGCUUGCGUUAGAAUGAGGAGGAAGGAGAGAAGGGGAGGAGGGCGGGGGGUACCUACUACAUCGCCCUCCACAUCCCUGAUUCCUGUUGUUAUGGAAACUGUUGCCAGAGAUGGAGGUUCUCUCGGAGUAUCUGGGAACUGUGCCUUUGAGUUUCCUCAGGCUGCUGGAGGAAAACUGAGACUCAGACAGGAAAGGGAAGGCCCCACAGACAAGGUAGCCCUGGCCAGAGGCUUGUUUUGUCUUUUGGUUUUUAUGAGGUGGGAUAUCCCUAUGCUGCCUAGGCUGACCUUGAACUCCUGGGCUCAAGCAGUCUACCCACCUCAGCCUCCUGUGUAGCUGGGAUUAUAGAUUGGAGCCACCAUGCCCAGCUCAGAGGGUUGUUCUUCUAGACUGACCCUGAUCAGUCUAAGAUGGGUGGGGACGUCCUGCCACCUGGGGCAGUCACCUGCCCAGAUCCCAGAAGGACCUCCUGAGCGAUGACUCAAGUGUCUCAGUCCACUUGAGCUGCCAUCCAGGGAUGCCAUCUGUGGGCACACUGUGGGCAGGUGGGAGCUUGAUUCUCAGCACUUGGGGGAUCUGUUGUGUACGUGGAGAGGGAUGAGGUGCUGGGAGGGAUAGAGGGGGGCUGCCUGGCCCCCAGCUGUGGGUACAGAGAGGUCAAGCCCAGGAGGACUGCCCCGUGCAGACUGGAGGGGACGCUGGUAGAGAUGGAGGAGGAGGCAAUUGGGAUGGCGCUAGGCAUACAAGUAGGGGUUGUGGGUGACCAGUUGCACUUGGCCUCUGGAUUGUGGGAAUUAAGGAAGUGACUCAUCCUCUUGAAGAUGCUGAAACAGGAGAGAAAGGGGAUGUAUCCAUGGGGGCAGGGCAUGACUUUGUCCCAUUUCUAAAGGCCUCUUCCUUGCUGUGUCAUACCAGGCCGCCCCAGCCUCUGAGCCCCUGGGACUGCUGCUUCUUAACCCCAGUAAGCCACUGCCACACGUCUGACCCUCUCCACCCCAUAGUGACCGGCUGCUUUUCCCUAAGCCAAGGGCCUCUUGCGGUCCCUUCUUACUCACACACAAAAUGUACCCAGUAUUCUAGGUAGUGCCCUAUUUUACAAUUGUAAAACUGAGGCACAAGCAAAGUGAAGACACUGGCUCAUAUUCCUGCAGCCUGGAGGCCGGGUGCUCAGGGCUGACACGUCCACCCCAGUGCACCCACUCUGCUUUGACUGAGCAGACUGGUGAGCAGACUGGUGGGAUCUGUGCCCAGAGACGGGACUGGGAGGGCCCACUUCAGGGUUCUCCUCUCCCCUCUAAGGCCGAAGAAGGGUCCUUCCCUCUCCCCAAGACUUGGUGUCCUUUCACUCCACUCCUUCCUGCCACCUGCUGCUGCUGCUGCUGCUAAUCUUCAGGGCACUGCUGCUGCCUUUAGUCGCUGAGGAAAAAUAAAGACAAAUGCUGCGCCCUU